GUUCUUUUUCAACUGACGCUCUCCCAGAGCUCUAUCGGAUAACGCACCUCUCUGCCUCAGGAGAUGGAAGUCGAGGAACAAAUUACAGUCACUCUUAACACUUCUACACCGCGUUUUUGCAACUGUCUUCAUAGACAGAAAGGAAAUAUGGAGAAAACUAUUCACAGAUGGCAAUGUUGGAGAUCUGAUAGCCUUAGUCAAACUGGAACGGUCUCAACAACUAUCUUUUGAUUGAAUAUUGAAAUUUGACAGAUUUUCAAGUUCAUUGACACUGAUGUAAAUGCAGGAGUAAAGGAGCUUGGCAAAUUUCAAAUAUAUUAUAUUGCAAGCAACACCCCAGACUCAUUAGAAAGAAGUGUGCACUCAUUACAGUGUCCUUUAACAGAUUCAACUCAGACUGGCAACACAACUAGUUUGCUGACGCUGCUUGAAGAAAAGCCUCUUCAAUCCUGAGAGAACAUGAAGACUGUCAAAAAGUUGCUGUCAGUGUCCUUGUAGAGAAACAUGGAUUGUGACUAUCCUUCUGGUACAGAAAAGCUGGUACUAGCAAAAGAGAUUCUGUCAUUGUUCCCCUCAGGUGCCCUUUGGUGAAAAUGAGGGACAUGUAAGAAUGUUUUUACAUCAUAAACUGAAUUUAUUAGGAAUGUGUAUAUAAGUUGCUCAUUUAUUUGACUUUCAUUAGUUCUGUUUUUACAUUACUAAUGUCAGGAGGAUUUUUUUUUUGCUAGGCCAUCACACAGUCAGACGGAAGCUUCAACAGAGCCAGUGGGUGUACAGUUUAAAACAUCAUCAUUGUACACCGCAACCUUCUUCACCAAGUCCAGAUGAAACCGUACCAAUUACAGAAGAAGAUGGAUAACAACAAAAUCCCUUCAAAAUCUCUUGCUGAAAUCUUCAAGGACUAUCCCAGAUUUCUUGACAUGCCAGCUUUGAUGGACAUUGAAUUUUCCAAGCUCACAGAUGGGAACGAAGACUUGUUUAUCCAGAAAAGGGAAGGGACGAUAAUUCCAGAACUCAAAGAAAUAGCAUCUUGGAGAAGAAAAUUGACAUCAGACUCUUACUGAAGAUGGCUGACAAUCAGCAUGAUGAUGAGCUGUUAAACUGUUAAAGAUCCUUAUUCAUCUUCUUCCACC